AAAUGGCCAUAAUAACCACGCAUCUACAAUACCAGCAGGAAGCAAUUCAGAAAAAUGUCGAGCAAUCAUCAAACCUACAGGACCAGCUGAGUCACUUGCUGAAAUGAAGCGUAGCUGAAGUCACGAGGACGCCUUGACGGG